ACAUGCCUAUAACAUAAUGUUAUUGCAACAAAUCCCAUUAGAAAUACACAGUUAAGCGCACUCAAGCUAGAGUAGUACUACGAUGGGUGAGCACCCGAGAAGUCUUAGUAUUUUACAUGCC
rnacentral:rRNA from 1 species